rnacentral:rRNA from 1 species
GACGAACGCUGGCGGCGUGCUUAACACAUGCAAGUCGAACGGAAAGGCCCUGCUUUUGUGGGGUGCUCGAGUGGAGAAAGGGUGAGUAACACGUGAGUAACCUGCCCUUGACUUUGGGAUAACUUCAGGAAACUGGGGCUAAUACCGGAUAGGAGCUCCUGCUGCAUGGUGGGGGUUGGAAAGUUUCGGCGGUUGGGGAUGGACUCGCGGCUUAUCAGCUUGUUGGUGGGGUAGUGGCUUACCAAGGCUUUGACGGGUAGCCGGCCUGAGAGGGUGACCGGCCACAUUGGGACUGAGAUACGGCCCAGACUCCUACGGGAGGCAGCAGUGGGGAAUAUUGCACAAUGGGCGGAAGCCUGAUGCAGCAACGCCGCGUGCGGGAUGACGGCCUUCGGGUUGUAAACCGCUUUCGCCUGUGACGAAGCGUGAGUGACGGUAAUGGGUAAAGAAGCACCGGCUAACUACGUG